AUUGAACGCUGGCGGCAGGCCUAACACAUGCAAGUCGAGCGGAUGAAGGGAGCUUGCUCCUGGAUUCAGCGCGGACGGGUGAGUAAUGCCUAGGAAUCUGCCUGGUAGUGGGGGAUAACGUCCGGAAACGGGCGCUAAUACCGCAUACGUCCUGAGGGAGAAAGUGGGGGAUCUUCGGACCUCACGCUAUCAGAUGAGCCUAGGUCGGAUUAGCUAGUUGGUGGGGUAAAGGCCUACCAAGGCGACGAUCCGUAACUGGUCUGAGAGGAUGAUCAGUCACACUGGAACUGAGACACGGUCCAGACUCCUACGGGAGGCAGCAGUGGGGAAUAUUGGACAAUGGGCGAAAGCCUGAUCCAGCCAUGCCGCGUGUGUGAAGAAGGUCUUCGGAUUGUAAAGCACUUUAAGUUGGGAGGAAGGGCAGUAAGUUAAUACCUUGCUGUUUUGACGUUACCAACAGAAUAAGCACCGGCUAACUUCGUG
rnacentral:rRNA from 1 species